GCCAACGGGCCCCCGAAUGAGGCUUGGCGAUGGCAGGCGGGUGCUGUGCAGAGCGGAGCUGACACCUGAAUCUCGGCUCGCCUCCCCCAGGAGAGCACUUUAAUGAGGCUCACAGCUGUGAUAUCACAGAACGAGCAUUAACAAUGCUAAUUACCUCAAGUUUAGCCCGAACAUUCUCAACCCACCCGCCUGGGGAGCACACUGUUGUUCUGGCCCCUGCGAAAGCACUCACGGGCUGGGGCUUAGGAAAGGAGGUGACAGCAGAAAGCAGAGCACCAGGGCCCACGACACCCCCAAAGACCCUCCCGGAAGCCUAGGCCUCUGCAGAAUUCACCUGGAAAACGAGUGUUGUGGAACCCAACAUAACCCUCUGGCUUCAUUGUGUCCGGCAUGAAGCCUGCCGUUCUGCGGGACUGCGUGGAGAUAGGCUUUGCCAGGCACCCCAGAGGACCCGGGACACAGGCAGACAAAAAAGAUUCGCUACGUAGGUCAUCAACACUGCUAACCAACCACAGAACAAGAUACUAACCACAGCAAAGAAGGGACGGGGCCUGUGACUCAGUCUUUGUGAACGUGCAAGGGCUCCGCAGAGGGACUGGGAC